AGGCUUGUAGCUCAGGCGGUUAGAGCGCACCCCUGAUAAGGGUGAGGACAGUGGUUCGAUUCCACUCAGGCCUA
rnacentral:tRNA from 1 species